rnacentral:tRNA from 1 species
GGAGUGUUCGCCUAAUGGUUAGGGCCCAGAACUUAUAAUUCUGUGAUAAUGGUUCGAUCCCAUUACACUCUACCA